GGGCUCGUAGCUCAGGGGUAGAGUGUUCCGUUCGCUGCGGAAAGGCCCCGGGUUCAAAUCCCGGCGAGUCCA
rnacentral:tRNA from 1 species